rnacentral:rRNA from 1 species
UACGAAGGGUGCAAGCGUUACUCGGAAUUACUGGGCGUAAAGCGUGCGUAGGCGGUUUGUUAAGUCUGCUGUGAAAGCCCCGGGCUCAACCUGGGAACGGCAGUGGAUACUGUCAAGCGAGAGUGUGUCAGAGGAUGGUGGAAUUCCCGGUGUAGCGGUGAAAGGCGUAGAGAUCGGGAGGAACAUCAGUGGCGAAGGCGGCCAUCAGGGACAACACUGACGCUGAGGCACGAAAGCGUGGGGAGCAAACAGG